GAUGAACGCUGGCGGCGUGCCUAAUACAUGCAAGUCGAGCGAACGGACGAGAAGCUUGCUUCUCUGAUGUUAGCGGCGGACGUGUGAGUAACACGUGGAUAACCUACCUAUAAGACUGGGAUAACUUCGGGAAACCGGCGCUAAUACCGGAUAAUAUUUUGAACCGCAUGGUUCAAAAGUGAAAGACGGUCUUGCUGUCACUUAUAGAUGGAUCCGCGCUGCAUUAGCUAGUUGGUAAGGUAACGGCUUACCAAGGCAACGAUGCAUAGCCGACCUGAGAGGGUGAUCGGCCACACUGGAACUGAGACACGGUCCAGACUCCUACGGGAGGCAGCAGUAGGGAAUCUUCCGCAAUGGGCGAAAGCCUGACGGAACAACGCCGCGUGAGUGAUGAAGGUCUUCGGAUCGUAAAACUCUGUUAUUAGGGAAGAACAUAUGUGUAAGUAACUGUGCACAUCUUGACGGUACCUAAUCAGAAAGCCACGGCUAACUACGUG
rnacentral:rRNA from 1 species